rnacentral:rRNA from 1 species
GACGAACGCUGGCGGCGUGCUUAACACAUGCAAGUCGAACGAAGUGGCGAACGGGUGAGUAACGCGUAAUCAACCUGCCCUUCAGAGGGGAAAAACAGUUGGAAAGGAAUGCUAAUACGCCAUACUGAAGGAGGGGAUUGCGGCGGAUUAGCUAGUUGGGGGGGUAACGGCCCACCAAGGCGAGGAUCAGUAGCCGGUCUGAGAGGAUGAACGGCCACAAUGGGACUGAGACACGGCCCAGACUCCUACGGGAGGCAGCAGUGGGGAAUCUUCCGCAAUGGGCGGAAUUCUGACGGAGCAACGCCGCGUGAGUGAUGACGGCUUUCGGGUUGUAAAGCUCUGUUAAUCGGGACGCGGUACCGGAAUAGAAAGCCACGGCUAACUACGUGCCAGCAGCCGCGGUAAUUC